rnacentral:rRNA from 1 species
AUUGAACGCUGGCGGAAUGCUUUACACAUGCGAGUCGAACGGCAGCACGGACUUCGGUCUGGUGGCGAGUGGCGAACGGGUGAGUAAUGUAUCGGAACGUGCCCAGUCGUGGGGGAUAACGUAGUGAAAAUUACGCUAAUACCGCAUACGAUCUAUGGAUGAAAGCGGGGGAUCGCAAGACCUCGCGCGAUUGGAGCGGCCGAUAUCAGAUUAGGUAGUUGGUGGGGUAAAGGCCCACCAAGCCAACGAUCUGUAGCUGGUCUGAGAGGACGACCAGCCACACUGGAACUGAGACACGGUCCAGACUCCUACGGGAGUCAGCAGUGGGGAAUUUUGGACAAUGGGCGAAAGCCUGAUCCAGCCAUUCCGCGUGCAGGAUGAAGGCCCUCGGGUUGUAAACUGCUUUUGUACAGAACGAAAAGGUUUCUACUAAUACUAGGAGCUCAUGACGGUACUGUAAGAAUAAGCACCGGCUAACUACGUGCCAGCCGCCGCUGUAA